rnacentral:rRNA from 1 species
GAGUUUGAUUAUGGCUCAGAACGAACGCUGGCGGCAUGCCUAACACAUGCAAGUCGAACGAGACCUUCGGGUCUAGUGGCGCACGGGUGCGUAACGCGUGGGAACCUGCCCUUAGGUUCGGAAUAACUCAGNGAAAUUUGAGCUAAUACCGGAUAAUGUCUUCGGACCAAAGAUUUAUCGCCUUUGGAUGGGCCCGCGUUGGAUUAGCUAGUUGGUGGGGUAAAGGCCUACCAAGGCGACGAUCCAUAGCUGGUCUGAGAGGAUGAUCAACCACACUGGGACUGAGACACGGCCCAGNCUCCUACGGGAGGCNGCAGU